rnacentral:rRNA from 1 species
AGGAUGAACGCUGGCGGCGUGCCUAACACAUGCAAGUCGAACGUCCUGUCUCGCAAGAGGCAGGGAGUGGCGGACGGGUGAGUACCACGUGGGUCAUCUACCGUGAGGUGAGGAAUACCGGCGAGAAAUCGCCGACAAGACCGCAUAGCCUCGGUGCAAGCCGAGGAAAGCUCUUUCGAGAGAGGGAGCGCCACACGAGGAGCCUGCGCCCGAUUAGCUAGCUGGUGGAGUAACGGUUCACCAGGGCGACGAUCGGUAGCUGGUCUGAGAGGACGAUCAGCCACACUGGGAUUGAGAACGGCCCAGACUCCUACGGGGGGCAGCAGUGAGGAAUUUUCGUCAAGUGGGGCAACCCUGAACGAGCAACGCGCGUGCAGGAGAAGGUUUCGGAUCGUAAACUGCUUUUCGUCGGGGAAGAGAACGGACGGUACCCGAGGAAUCGACGCCCCGGCUAACUACGCGCCAGCAGCCGCGGUAA